ensembl:snRNA U6 U6 spliceosomal RNA
GGACUCACUUUGUCAGCACAUGUACUAAAAUUAGAAUGAUACAGUGAAGAUUAGCCUGACAUGUACACAAGGAUGACAUGUGAAUUUGUGAAGCGUUCCAUAUUUUG